GCUGCUGCUGGACGCCGAGUUGAUGCCCUGGUCGCUGAAGGCGUCCGGGCUGCUGCGCGCGCAGUACGCCGCGGUCGGCGCCGCGUCCGGCGCGGUGUUCCC
rnacentral:tRNA from 1 species